rnacentral:rRNA from 1 species
CCUACGGGAGGCAGCAGUGGGGAAUAUUGCACAAUGGGGGAAACCCUGAUGCAGCGACGCCGCGUGAGUGAAGAAGUACUUCGGUAUGUAAAGCUCUUUCAGCAGGGAAGAAAAUGACGGUACCUGACCAAGAAGCCCCGGCCAACUACGUGCCAGCAGCCGUGGUAAUACGUAGGGGGCAAGCGUUAUCCGGAUUUACUGGGUGUAAAGGGAGCGUAGACGGCAGGGCAAGUCUGGAGUGAAAGGCGGGGGCUCAACCCCCGGACUGCUCUGGAAACUGCCAGGCUGGAGUGCAGGAGAGGUAAGUGGAAUUCCUAGUGUAGCGGUGAAAUGCGUAGAUAUUAGGAAGAACACCAGUGGCGAAGGCGGCUUACUGGACUGUAACUGACGUUGAGGCUCGAAAGCGUGGGGAGCAAACAGGAUUAGAUACCCUGGUAGUC